AGCGAACGCUGGCGGCAGGCCUAACACAUGCAAGUCGAACGAACUCUUCGGAGUUAGUGGCGGACGGGUGAGUAACACGUGGGAACGUGCCUUUAGGUUCGGAAUAACUCAGGGAAACUUGUGCUAAUACCGAAUGUGCCCUUCGGGGGAAAGAUUUAUCGCCUUUAGAGCGGCCCGCGUCUGAUUAGCUAGUUGGUGAGGUAAAGGCUCACCAAGGCGACGAUCAGUAGCUGGUCUGAGAGGAUGAUCAGCCACAUUGGGACUGAGACACGGCCCAAACUCCUACUGGAGGCAGCAGUGGGGAAUCUUGCGCAAUGGCGAAAGCCUGACGCAGCCAUGCCGCGUGAAUGAUGAAGGUCUUAGGAUUGUAAAAUUCUUUCACCGGGGACGAUAAUGACGGUACCCGGAGAAGAAGCCCCGGCUAACUUCGUG
rnacentral:rRNA from 1 species